rnacentral:misc_RNA from 1 species
UUAAUAAGUCUGACAAUUAGUAUAUUAGCAAAUUCCUCUAAUCACCAGCUCAAAUCAAGAGCAGAUAGCUUCUUAAUAAGUCUGACAAUUAGUAUAUUAGCAAAUUCCUCUAAUCACCAGCUCAAAUCAAGAGCAGAUAGCUUCUUAAUAAGUCUGACAAUUAGUAUAUUAGCAAAUUCCUCUAAUCACCAGCUCAAAUCAAGUGCAGAUAGCUUCUUUGUUUUUAUGUUUUUUUCUUCAAACUAGAAUUUUAUUUUAGCAUUUUUUUAUUAAAGAUGCAGUGGCGAGUUUAUUAAUUUACUAUAUUGAUGAAAUCUAUGGUGUAUAAGAUUUUAACUUAAUGGACUUGAUGGUUCCUAGAUAAGAGGAUUGUUCUUUUACUUGAAUAAGAGUCCCUUUGUUUACGUUAUAAGUCAUUUUCCGGCUGUCAUAAAAGACAAAGCUUUUAAUUGUUAGAGUGGAAGCAUAUGAGUUUAAAUCUUUAUAUGUUUUAUUUGGUAAACUGAUUCUAACCAUUUUUUUGUGUUUGUUUUUCAAGUAUGAAGUAUGGAAUGGUAAUCAAUGCUGAAGACUAGGAUUCAGGAGAAAAACAGUUAAGAAGCAAAAUAAGUGGGUAAUUUAAUUAAACAUUUAUCAGUACAUGACCCAAGUGCAACAGAUGCUGAGAGGGCAGAAGCUAUGCUGAUUGGCCAACCCAAUGAAUUUGGUGAGGAUUAUGAUGUAGAGUAGAGUUACUCUGAAAGUGAAGAAAAUGUAAUAAAGUCGGUCCCAGUUCAGGGUGAAGGAGCAGUCCAAGAAGGGAAGCAGGAAAGACCACAGGUUGUGGUUUUUGAAGUGAUUCAACUGCCAGGUGGGGUAGGUGAAACCUCUGACAGCUCUGAGCAAGCUCUUACUGAACUCCAGCAGAGUUCAGUUUUGAUAACAGUCAUGGAACACCUCAAAAGAAUAUCACUGUCCUUGAGCUGGCCCAAAACCAAGAAUCCCAGGUUAACAAAUUAAUUGUUAAUGUCACCAGAAAUAAUGGAGAAUCUAUAACAUCAGGUAAACAACUGAAGAACUUGGUUAAAUGCAGAACCUUUAGCCAAUAUAGAACGAGUAGAGCAAAUCCAUGCUAAUCCUGAGGAAAUUGUUCAACAAGAAGAAGAAAUUACAAGAAAAAGACAAGAACAAAAGAAGGAAAGAGACAUGGAAGAACACUUUGGUUUUGAUGUUGUACUAAAGUAAUGGGGAGAAUGGAUGGUGCGAUAUUCGAUGACACAGAUAUGAGCGAAGGAAGAGUUGUGAUUUAUCUGGGAAUAUUUGGUGUAAUUAUAUUGCUAAUAUGUCUCAUCUGUUACUGUUGCAAUAAGAAAAUUUACGAUGACGAUUUUGAGACAUCACACUGUGGACUUACGAGGAGUUCGAACGUACAAGGACAUCGGCAUAUCGUGACAAUAAGUGGUGCACCACAAGAACCUGUGACACCAUCACCUCCCCCACCUUAUGACGAUGCUAUCAAGAAAGGAACACGUUUUCAGUUUGAUCAGAGUCCCCCAUCUUACGAAGUUGCACUAUCUUGGCAGAAUUUUCCAGGUGUUCACAACUUUGGACUUGAAGAAUCUUCAAUCUUACACAGACCACAAUAUCAAAUAUUGCCAACAUUAAUGCCCUCGUGAUAAACGCUGGUUGUGAAGAAGGCUGUAAACACUUGCUUAGUGGCAAUUACAAUUGACACUAUUUAAUAAUGAUGCAUCAGAUCCACAAUUUUUAGAAGGAUCUGGGUGAGGGAAUGACAGGGUAGCUUGAUUUUCAGCAAUCCUCGUUUACCAAAUGUGGAGACAUGAUAAAAAUAACUAAGUGCUUGACAAAAAAGUUGGUUUUCAAUUGCUAUAAAUUGUUUAACAAUUUUUGUAGAAUUAGAAAGCAGUGACUUUUAUAAGUAUCAUACUUGAUGCCUAAUAAAGGCCAACCUAUUUUUAAAGUCUGACACCCAUAUGACAAAGCACAUUAAUUUGGAUUUAAGUUUUUGUAAGUUAUUCAAAUGUUCUCUUUAUGUACCAUUUACAGAUUAUUUUAAUUUGUAAGUGUUCUCACACUUCUUUAUUGUCUGUUCUUUACAAGUGUAGUGCUAGCUUGUAUUUACUUUUUUUAGUUAUUUUUUAUGUCUCUGAUUUAAAAGCAUCUAGUCAUCCAUUAAAUUAGUCAUUCUGUCCAGGUACAAAAGUUUAAAAGAUUAUUUGUAACUUCAUUUGGUAUUUUUUUAAGGAAAAAAAAACUCAAUCUGAGGCCAUUAGCUACAUCUUGUUGAGAGUCACAUGUAUAAUUUAACAUUGAAAAGCCUAUACCAUAAGUAACCUUUAUACCAGUGCUCAAACAUGGUAGUGUUUUGAUUCUACAAUACUGAUAACUCAGUGUUUACAUUCUGCAAUACAUACAACUUGGCAUUUUCAUUCCAAUGUUCUAGCACUAUACUUUUUCAAUUCCAUAUACUUUUCAUUUUAUUAUGUUAAUCAUUCUGAGGUCUUGCAACCUCAGUUGGCUUUACAUCCUGGUAUUUUCACCUUGUUAUAAUAUGAAUAUGCAACUCCAUGAACUUGACAUUGGUUUAUGACUGAGAUGUUUCCAACUGAAGACAGGACAAAAUAGCCAUAUGUGUGACUAAAAGUUGGUUUUCAUUUACUUUAAAUUGUAUAAAUAAAAUUUGAAUAAUUGGAAAGCAUUGACUUUUUAAUGUGUAUUAUUGAUGCAUAUAUUUUUAAGAUCUAUAUAACAGACUUAAAACAAAUCGAAGUGUUUUCAAACAUGAAAGAUAUUUAGUUUGAUGUGUCAAUCAUAAAUUUGAUAAUUUUUGAGAACUUGUAGAAAGUAUUGUGUUGUUUUUAUGGGAACCUAAAACUGUUUUAGUAUUUUUGUCUGUGGGCUUUAAACUUGUUAAAAUAUAUAUUGUAGAAAAUUAAAUUAUAAUUGUGAAUGCUGUAUUUUUUUAUUAAAAUAAGUUUUCUAAUUUCA